rnacentral:rRNA from 1 species
GACGAACGCUGGCGGCGUGCUUAACACAUGCAAGUCGAACGGAAAGGCCUGCUUUCCCUUGUGGAUUGCGGGUACUCGAGUGGCAAACGGGUGAGUAACACGUGAGUGAUCUGCCCCCAACUUGGGUAUAAGCCUGGGAAACUGGGUCUAAUUCCCGAUAGGACUGCAGGGUGGUGCCUGUGGUGGAAAACGAUUUUCUAGUGGUUGGGGAUGAGCUCGCGGCCUAUCAGCUUGUUGGUGGGGUAAUGGCCUACCAAGGCGGCGACGGGUAGCCGGCCUGAGAGGGUGGACGGCCGCAUUGGGACUGAGAUACGGCCCCGACUCCUACGGGAGGCAGCAGUGGGGAAUAUUGCACAAUGGGCGGAAGCCUGAUGCAGCGACGCAGCGUGGGGGAUGACGGCCUUCGGGUUGUAAACUCCUUUCGACCGCGAGGAAGCCACCUGGUUGGAAGGGUGGUGACGGUAGUGGUAGAAGAAGCACCGGCUAACUACGUG